GGGCUUCUGUAGCACAUACACUAAAACUGGACCAAUAAAAAGGACAUCAGCACAGCCUCUGUGCAAGGAAGAUAGGCAAAUUCCCACUAUAUGUUAUAUUUGU